CGCAUGGUUCAAGGAUGAAAGACGGUUUCGKCUGUCACUUACAGAUGGACCCGCGGCGCAUUAGCUAGUUGGUGGGGUMAUGGCUCACCAAGGMGACGAUSCGUAKCCGACCUGAGAGGGUGAUCGGCCACACUGGGACUGAGACACGGCCCAGACUCCUACGGGAGGCAGCAGUAGGGAAUCUUCCGCAAUGGACGAAAGUCUGACGGAGCAACGCCGCGUGAGUGAUGAAGGUUUUCGGAUCGUAAAGCUCUGUUGUUAGGGAAGAACAAGUGCGAGAGUAACUGCUCGCACCUUGACGGUACCUAACCAGAAAGCCACGGCUAACUACGUGCCAGCAGCCGCGGUAAUWCGUAGGUGGCAAGCGUUGUCCGGAAUUAUUGGGCGUAAAGGGCUCGCAGGCGGUUUCUUAAGUCUGAUGUGAAASCCCCCGGCUCAACCGGGGAGGGUCAUUGGAAACUGGGAAACYUGAGUGCAGAAGAGGAGAGUGGAAUUCCACGUGUAGCGGUGAAAUGCGUAGAGAUGUGGAGGAACACCAGUGGCGAAGGCGACUCUCUGGUCUGUAACUGACGCUGAGGAGCGAAAGCGUGGGGAGCGAACAGGAUUAGAUACCCUGGUAGUCCACGCCGUAAACGAUGAGUGCUAAGUGUUAGGGGGUUUCCGCCCCUUAGUGCUGCAGCUAACGCAUUAAGCACUCCG
rnacentral:rRNA from 2 species